rnacentral:lncRNA from 1 species
CUGAAAUUGCCACUGAAAAUAGAAAGCUUUGUUUAAAAGGUUGAUUCUGGCAUUUGUGUAAGAAAAAACUCCUACCUCCUGAAUUAGGGAGUUGAAGAUAUAUCCCUGGGGCUGGAAUUGUGGCUCAGUGGUAGAGCGCUCGCCUAGGAUGAGCGGGACCCAGUUUGAUUCUCAGCACCACAUAAAAAUAAAGGCAUUGUGUUGUGUCCAUCUACAAAAAAGAUUCAUAUUUUCUCUCUCUCUCUCUCUCUCUCUCUCUCUCUCUCAAAAAAAAAAAAAAGAAAAAAUAUAUCCCUGAUAAUAAUGAUAAUGGUGAAUCUUAUUCACAGUUAAACUAAUUCAGUUUUAGAUAUCUUAGCAUUUUAAAGAGUUAUGAUUAGCCAGAGGAGUUUAGUCAUAUCACUUGGAAACAAGCUUCUAUGAAAUAGUCUCGAAUUAGCAAAUUAAAAAAAGAAAAAAACAACGCAAGCAAGUAGUAUUGAAGCUUUGGGCACUUAAUGAUUGAGUUCUUAAAGCUACCAUGAUGUUUAGUAAGUGUAUAUAACUGUUUUCACUCUGCCAGAUUUCUGUUAUCUGCAUCUAUUAAUAGAGGUUUUGACAUAUAUCAGUGAUAGGUAGUUGGGGAAAAACAUAGGAUUUGAAAUUGUAUGAGGUAGGUG